rnacentral:tRNA from 1 species
GCGGGUGUCGUAUAAUGGUCAUUACCUGAGCUUCCCAAGCUCAUGAUGGCGGUUCGAUUCCGCUCACCCGCUCCA